rnacentral:lncRNA from 1 species
CCUCCAUCACAGCAUGGCUGUACUGGUGCUAUUGCUCUGCCUGGUGACAUUUCCAAGCUGUGUCCUGUCCCAGGUGCAACUGAAGGAGUCAGGACCUGGUCUGGUGCAGCCCUCACAGACCCUGUCCCUCACCUGCACUGUCUCUGGAUUCUCAUUAACCGGCUACAAUGUACACUGGGUUCGCCAACCUCCAGUAAAGGGUCUGGAGUGGAUGGGAAGAAUGAGGUAUGAUGGAGACACAUAUUAUAAUUCAGCUCUCAAAUCCAGACUGAGCAUCAGCAGGGACACCUCCAAGAACCAAGUUUUCUUAAAAAUGAACAGUCUGCAAACUGAUGAUACAGGCACUUACUACUGUACCAGAGACACAGUGA